rnacentral:rRNA from 1 species
AUGUAGCAAUACUUGGCGUACUGCUCACUAACACGUGGACAACCUGCCCUUAGGUCGGGUAUAAACCCGGGAAACUGGGUAUAAUCCCCGAUAGGUCGCGGCUGCUGGAAUGCAUCUAGAUUAAAAGCUCCAGCGCCUAAGGAUGGGUCUGCGGCCUAUCACGUAGUAUUGGGUGUAUCGUACCUACUACCCUACGACGGGAACCGGUUGUGACAGCAGGACCCCGGAGAUGGAUUCUGAUACACCAAUCCCCCCCUUACGGGGUGCAGCACGCGCGAAAACUUUACAAUGCUGGCAACAGCGAUGACGGAACCUCGAGUGCCAGGAUACAAAUCUGGCUGUCUAGAUGCCUAWAAAGCAUUUCAUAACAAGGGCCGGGCAAGACCGGUGCCAGCCGCCGCGGUAACACCGGCGGCUCGAGUGGUAACCGUUAUUAUUGGGUCUAAAGGGUCUGUAGCCGGCCGGAUAAGUCUCUUGAGAAAUCUGGCAGCUUAACUGUCAUGCUUUCAGGAGAUACUGUCUGGCUCGAGGCCGGGAG